GAUGAACGCUGGCGGCGUGCUUAACACAUGCAAGUCGAACGAAGCACCUCUCCCGAAGAUUGACACAGCUUGCUGUAGAUUGAUUCAUUUGAGGUGACUGAGUGGCGGACGGGUGAGUAACGCGUGGGUAACCUGCCUCAUAGAGGGGGACAACAGUUGGAAACGACUGCUAAUACCGCAUAGUAAGAAAGAUUCGCAUGUUUCUUUCUUGAAAGAUUUAUCGCUAUGAGAUGGACCCGCGUCUGAUUAGCUAGUUGGUAAGGUAACGGCUUACCAAGGCAACGAUCAGUAGCCGGCUUGAGAGAGUGAACGGCCACAUUGGGACUGAGACACGGCCCAGACUCCUACGGGAGGCAGCAGUGGGGAAUAUUGCACAAUGGGGGAAACCCUGAUGCAGCGACGCCGCGUGAGUGAAGAAGUAUUUCGGUAUGUAAAGCUCUAUCAGCAGGGAAGAUAAUGACGGUACCUGACUAAGAAG
rnacentral:rRNA from 1 species